GACGAACGCUGGCGGCGUGCUUAACACAUGCAAGUCGAACGGAAAGGCCUUUUCGGAGGUACUCGAGUGGCGAACGGGUGAGUAACACGUGGGUGAUCUGCCCUGCACUCUGGGAUAAGCCUGGGAAACUGGGUCUAAUACCGGAUAGGACCGCACUUUAGUGUGUGGGGGGGAAAGUUUUUUCGGUGUAGGAUGAGCCCGCGGCCUAUCAGCUUGUUGGUGGGGUAAUGGCCUACCAAGGCGGCGACGGGUAGCCGGACUGAGAGGUUGGUCGGCCACAGUGGGGCUGGGAUACGGCCCAGACUCCUACGGGGGGCAGCAGUGGGGAAUAUUGCACAAUGGGCGCGAGCCUGAUGCAGCGACGGCGCGUGGGGGAUGACGGCCUUCGGGUUGUAAACUCCUUUCGCCAGGGACGAAGCGGUUUGUGACGGUACCUGGUGAAGAAGCACCGGCUAACUACGUG
rnacentral:rRNA from 1 species